rnacentral:tRNA from 1 species
GGGGGUAUAGCUCAGUGGUAGAGUGUGUGCUUAGCAUGCACGAGGUCCUGGGUUCAAUCCCCAGUACCUUCA